rnacentral:rRNA from 1 species
UGGCAAGUUUAUUUGCCAGCAGCCGCGGUAAUUCCAGCUCCAAUAGCGUAUAUUAAAGUUGUUGUGGUUAAAAAGCUCGUAGUAGAACCUUGGGCCUGGCUGGCCGGUCCGCCUCACCGCGUGCACUGGUCCGGCCGGGCCUUUCCCCCUGUGGAACCUCAUGCCCUUCACUGGGUGUGUGGGAAAACAGGACUUUUACUUUGAAAAAAUUAGAGUGCUCCAGGCAGGCCUAUGCUCGAAUACAUUAGCAUGGAAUAAUAGAAUAGGACGUGUGGUUCUAUUUUGUUGGUUUCUAGGACCGCCGUAAUGAUUAAUAGGGACAGUCGGGGGCAUCAGUAUUCAAUUGUCAGAGGUGAAAUUCUUGGAUUUAUUGAAGACUAACUACUGCGAAAGCAUUUGCCAAGGAUGUUUUCAUUUAUCAGGAACGAAAGUUAGGGGAUCGAAGACG